rnacentral:piRNA from 1 species
UGAAGAAUUUUCCCAUUUUCUCAAGAGUUC